AGAGUUUGAUCAUGGCUCAGAUUGAACGCUGGCGGCAGGCUUAACACAUGCAAGUCGAGCGGAAACGAUACCAGCUUGCUGGUAGGCGUCGAGCGGCGGACGGGUGAGUAAUACUUAGGAAUCUACCUAGUAGUGGGGGAUAGCACGGGGAAACUCGUAUUAAUACCGCAUACGACCUACGGGAGAAAGGGGGCAGUUUACUGCUCUCGCUAUUAGAUGAGCCUAAGUCGGAUUAGCUAGAUGGUGGGGUAAAGGCCUACCAUGGCGACGAUCUGUAGCUGGUCUGAGAGGAUGAUCAGCCACACCGGGACUGAGACACGGCCCGGACUCCUACGGGAGGCAGCAGUGGGGAAUAUUGGACAAUGGGGGAAACCCUGAUCCAGCCAUGCCGCGUGUGUGAAGAAGGCCUUUUGGUUGUAAAGCACUUUAAGCAGUGAAGAAGACUCCAUGGUUAAUACCCAUGGACGAUGACAUUAGCUGCAGAAUAAGCACCGGCUAACUCUGUGCCAGCAGCCGCGGUAAUACAGAGGGUGCAAGCGUUAAUCGGAAUUACUGGGCGUAAAGGGAGCGUAGGUGGCUCUAUAAGUCAGAUGUGAAAUCCCCGGGCUUAACCUGGGAACUGCAUCUGAAACUGUAGAGCUAGAGUAUGUGAGAGGAAGGUAGAAUUCCAGGUGUAGCGGUGAAAUGCGUAGAGAUCUGGAGGAAUACCGAUGGCGAAGGCAGCCUUCUGGCAUAAUACUGACACUGAGGCUCGAAAGCGUGGGUAGCAAACAGGAUUAGAUACCCUGGUAGUCCACGCCGUAAACGAUGUCUACUAGCCGUUGGGGCCUUUGAGGCUUUAGUGGCGCAGCUAACGCGAUAAGUAGACCGCCUGGGGAGUACGGUCGCAAGACUAAAACUCAAAUGAAUUGACGGGGGCCCGCACAAGCGGUGGAGCAUGUGGUUUAAUUCGAUGCAACGCGAAGAACCUUACCUGGUCUUGACAUAGUAAGAACUUUCCAGAGAUGGAUUGGUGCCUUCGGGAACUUACAUACAGGUGCUGCAUGGCUGUCGUCAGCUCGUGUCGUGAGAUGUUGGGUUAAGUCCCGCAACGAGCGCAACCCUUUUCCUUAUUUGCCAGCGGGUUAAGCCGGGAACUUUAAGGAUACUGCCAGUGACAAACUGGAGGAAGGCGGGGACGACGUCAAGUC
rnacentral:rRNA from 1 species